rnacentral:tRNA from 1 species
GCCUCAAUAGCUCAGUUGGCAGAGCAGCUGACUUGUAAUCAGCAGGUCCCGGGUUCAAGUCCCGGUUGGGGCU